UCGUAUGGUUGAUUCUAGCGACGU
rnacentral:siRNA from 1 species